AACAGCACAGGGGUGACAUUACCAUCUGCAGUUCAGGCCUGGUGAUCCCUUUGAAGCUAAGCAGCUUUGGGCCUGGCCAGUACCUGGAUGAGAGAACUAGGAAAGCUGGCCAGCUGUUG
rnacentral:rRNA from 1 species